UUAGCUGAGAGGUGGUGCAUGGCCGUCGUCAGUUCGUACUGUGAAGCAUCCUGUUAAGUCAGGCAACGAGCGAGACCCACGCCCACAGUUGCCAGCGUACUCUCUGGAGUGACGGGUACACUGUGGGGACCGCCGCUGCUAAAGCGGAGGAAGGGAAUGGGCAACGGUAGGUCAGUAUGCCCCGAAUAUCCCGGGCUACACGCGAGCUACAAUGGUUGGUACAAUGGGUAUCUACCCCGAAAGGGGACGGGAAUCUCCUAAACCAAUCUUAGUUCGGAUUGAGGGCUGCAACUCGCCCUCAUGAAGCUGGAAUCCGUAGUAAUCGCGUUUCAACAGAACGCGGUGAAUACGUCCCUGCUCCUU
rnacentral:rRNA from 1 species